UACGAAGGGGGCGAGCGUUGUUCGGAAUUACUGGGCGUAAAGGGCGCGUAGGCGGCGAACCAAGUCAGAUGUGAAAGUCCUGGGCUUAACCUGGGGACUGCAUUUGAUACUGGUUUGCUUGAAUUCGGGAGAGGAUAGCGGAAUUCCCAGUGUAGAGGUGAAAUUCGUAGAUAUUGGGAAGAACACCGGUGGCGAAGGCGGCUAUCUGGACCGACAUUGACGCUGAGGCGCGAAAGCGUGGGGGAGCAAACAGG
rnacentral:rRNA from 1 species